UGUAAGUUGAAUUAAGGCUUUCACUGUUUCUUUCAGGGUGAUGUUUAGACUGAUACUGAGUUCUAUAUUGAGAUAUUGCACUGCUGGGUACUGAACUGCUGUUGGAUAUCCUGCACUGUUUUAUGAAGAAUUUAUUCAAGUUAGUGACUUCUCCUGAUAACUGAACAUCAAAUAACUACUCCUCCUUCUUCUUAGUGCUCCAUGGAAAAAUACAGCAAUUUCUCUGUUUUUGCCCUAAAAAUGAAAUGUUGAACCUAAAAAGGAAAUGCUUCUUCUGCCAGCACUCCCAGUUUGCUGAUCUCGUGUGAGAGCACAGAAGGCCAUAAAGAACUACUGGUGUCAAUGAAAAGCACAGGACAAGAAAAUCACUGCUACUGUAUGAAAAAAAUCCAUAUU
rnacentral:lncRNA from 1 species